GAAAAAGCGUCUGAAUUUUUUUUUAAAAAAAAAACCUGACCCCAGAGUAUGCCAGAUCCGCCACAAAUACAGGGAAUCCACUGUGCACACGGACAGAGUCUCCCCUGUAUUUGCACGGCGUCGCACAAGUACAAGAAGUAACCCAGGUACACCCACAACCAAAUGAAUAUACAAAUAACCAACAAUUAUAUAUUCAUACACCAUUCACAUCACAGGUUCACAUUUAUAUAUUCAAUAAUUAAACAUAAAUCCACAUCUAUCAGUUAAAAUGUUUCCAACCACAGAAACAGAUUUUGAAAUACUAAGAUACAAAAUCCACAGAAAACCUUUUGAAAACUGUUCCCUACACAGGAACUUUUAUCUUUUCAAAACGCUACCACGAGGGGUAGAAAACCAUUUUCAUUUCAAGAAAACACAAAUUCCUUUAUUACAUUCCAAAACCAACUGAAAACUCAGAUAUCCAAAUAGUAAAAUAAAACUGAACCAUAAUAUGUCUAAGUUAGUUAUUUAUUUAAGCAUGAAGGGUAAGGGAAGAUAAACCAAACCACGGGACGGAAAGCUCUAUCGUAUGCUAGACCCGAUCCUCACCAGCUGUCCCACUCGGACCUGCUACGUCACCUGUAAUGGGGGCGGG
rnacentral:lncRNA from 1 species